CGGAGCUGUGGAGUGUGACAAUGGUGUUUGUGUCAAAUCCAUCAAACGCCAUUAUCACACUAAUUAGCUACGAU
rnacentral:pre_miRNA from 1 species